AUUAAGCCAUGCAUGUCUAAGUAUAAGCAAUUAUACCGCGAAACUGCGAAUGGCUCAUUAAAUCAGUUAUCGUUUAUUUGAUAGUACCUUACUACAUGGAUAACCGUGGUAAUUCUAGAGCUAAUACAUGCUAAAAAUCCCGACUUCGGAAGGGAUGUAUUUAUUAGAUUAAAAACCAAUGCCCUUCGGGGCUCUCUGGUGAUUCAUAAUAACUUCUCGAAUCGCACGGCCUUGCGCCGGCGAUGGUUCAUUCAAAUUUCUGCCCUAUCAACUUUCGACGGCUGGGUCUUGGCCAGCCGUGGUGACAACGGGUAACGGAGGGUUAGGGCUCGACCCCGGAGAAGGAGCCUGAGAAACGGCUACUACAUCCAAGGAAGGCAGCAGGCGCGCAAAUUACCCAAUCCCGACACGGGGAGGUAGUGACAAUAAAUACUGAUACAGGGCUCUUUCGGGUCUUGUAAUUGGAAUGAGUACAAUUUAAAUCCCUUAACGAGGAACAAUUGGAGGGCAAGUCUGGUGCCA
rnacentral:rRNA from 1 species